rnacentral:rRNA from 1 species
GAUGAACGCUGGCGGCGUGCCUAAUACAUGCAAGUCGAGCGAACGGACGAGAAGCUUGCUUCUCUGAUGUUAGCGGCGGACGGGUGAGUAACACGUGGAUAACCUACCUAUAAGACUGGGAUAACUUCGGGAAACCGGAGCUAAUACCGGUUAAUAUUUUGAACCGCAUGGUUCAAAAGUGAAAGACGGUCUUGCUGUCACUUAUAGAUGGAUCCGCGCUGCAUUAGCUAGUUGGUAAGGUAACGGCUUACCAAGGCAACGAUGCAUAGCCGACCUGAGAGGGUGAUCAGCCACACUGGAACUGAGACACGGUCCAGACUCCUACGGGAGGCAGCAGUAGGGAAUCUUCCGCAAUGGGCGAAAGCCUGACGGAGCAACGCCGCGUGAGUGAUGAAGGUCUUCGGAUCGUAAAACUCUGUUAUUAGGGAAGAACAUAUGUGUAAGUAACUGUGCACAUCUUGACGGUACCUAAUCAGAAAGCCACGGCUAACUACGUG